rnacentral:rRNA from 1 species
CAGUAGCCGCGGUAAAACGUAGGUGGCAAGCGUUGUCCGGAAUUAUUGGGCGUAAAGGGCGCGUAGGCGGACUGAUAAGUCAGGGGUGAAAUCCCAAGGCUCAACCUUGGAACUGCCUUUGAUACUGAAGAUCUUGAGUUCGGGAGAGGUGAGUGGAACUGCGAGUGUAGAGGUGAAAUUCGUAGAUAUUCGCAAGAACACCAGUGGCGAAGGCGGCUCACUGGCCCGAUACUGACGCUGAGGCACGAAAGCGUGGGGAGCAAACAGGAUUAGAUACCCGUGUAGUCCCUGUCUCUUAUAC